rnacentral:rRNA from 1 species
GAUUAUGGCUCAGGACGAACGCUGGCGGCGUGCUUAACACAUGCAAGUCGAGCGAUGAAGCUCUUCGGAAGUGGAUUAGCGGCGGACGGGUGAGUAACACGUGGGUAACCUGCCUCAUAGAGGGGAAUAGCCUUCCGAAAGGAAGAUUAAUACCGCAUAAGAUUGUAAUAUCGCAUGAUAUAGCAAUUAAAGGAGUAAUCCGCUAUGAGAUGGACCCGCGUCGCAUUAGCUAGUUGGUGAGGUAACGGCUCACCAAGGCGACGAUGCGUAGCCGACCUGAGAGGGUGAUCGGCCACAUUGGGACUGAGACACGGCCCAGACUCCUACGGGAGGCAGCAGUGGGGAAUAUUGCACAAUGGGGGAAACCCUGAUGCAGCAACGCCGCGUGAGUGAUGACGGUCUUCGGAUUGUAAAGCUCUGUCUUCAGGGACGAUAAUGACGGUACCUGAGGAGGAAGCCACGGCUAACUACGUGCCAGCCGCAGC